rnacentral:rRNA from 1 species
CCUACGGGAGGCAGCAGUGGGGAAUAUUGGACAAUGGGGGCAACCCUGAUCCAGCCAUGCCGCGUGUGUGAAGAAGGCCUUCGGGUUGUAAAGCACUUUAAGCGGGGAGGAAGGGCUUUGGGUUAAUAACCUGGAGCAUUGACGUUACCCGCAGAAUAAGCACCGGCUAACUCUGUGCCAGCAGCCGCGGUAAUACAGAGGGUGCAAGCGUUAAUCGGAAUUACUGGGCGUAAAGCGCGCGUAGGCGGUUGUGCAAGUUGGAGGUGAAAUCCCCGGGCUUAACCUGGGCACUGCCUUCAAAACUGCACGGCUAGAGUAUGGGAGAGGAAGGUAGAAUUCCAGGUGUAGCGGUGAAAUGCGUAGAGAUCUGGAGGAAUACCGAUGGCGAAGGCAGCCUUCUGGCCUAAUACUGACGCUGAGGUGCGAAAGCACGGGGAGCAAACAGGAUUAGAUACCCUGGUAGUCCAUGCCGUAAACGAUGUCAACUAGUUGUUGGANACUUGNUCUCUUAGUGACGCAGCGUACGACGAGUUAAGUUAGUACCGCCGUCGGGAGGUAACGGUCGUCGAGAACGUAAACGUUAACGAAAGAAGUUAACGGUUACGUUGAGAGNGCGACGGACGACGACGAGGGAGGAGG